UCUGUUUUUAAGAGUUUUUGUGGGGGGGAAUACAAGUGAAAGUGUAGAUCUAUAUGUAUUUGUAUGCCUUGUAUGAUUUCCAUGCUUAUAUGUAUGCUUAUAUGUGUUUUAAUGUUGGAUCUAGCCAUUAAACCCCUCAAAACCGAGAUAUAACUCAUGUUUUAUGAUAUUAGCUUCAAAUAUGUUCCUACAUAAUAAGUGAUACUAGAUAAAUAGCCAAGUGGUUAGCAACAAUUUUCUUUAAGCUAAAAACACACAUUUUGGGCCAAAAAUGUGAAAAAUACAAAAUUAAGGGCCCAAAAUGACAUUUUACAGAUUCUGAUGGUUGAAAUGUGUCAAAACAGUUUCAAUAAAGCUAUUUCUGGAAUUCUAUUCAAUUGGUGGAUUAAAAACAUAAAUUUCAAGCCUAUUGGGCUAAAAAUGCAAAUUUCGGCCCAAUAAGGCCCAUUAUGCGAAUUUUUCUGUUUUGGAGGGCCAAAACUGUAACUUUCUGUAAAACAGUGGACUAUAAGUGUCCCAAACCCUUUUCAAAGGUUUAAAAUGCUUUUUAAAUUUAAAAAGGACCAAAGUUGCAAAAAUUUUCCAUUUUGGGCCAAAAUUGUCAAAAUUGCGAAAAGAUGGGCUAAAACCGAGAAAAACUGCAUUUUCAGGGACUUAAACUGUUUUCUUUGAAAAAUAUGCUGGAAAAUAUUAAUUUCAAUAAUUUUUGGUGUUAAAAUGUCAAGAAAAAUAGUUUAAGGACCAAACCGGGAAAUAUUUAAAUAAAAGGGUUGAAAAUGUAAAUUUUACAAAUAAUGAGGGGCUGAAAACAGAAAUAUUUCAAGGCUGAUUCAUUAUGUACAAUGUGAUCAAAUAAUGACACCUCAACUAUCAACGAAAUACAACUCAUUACAAUACCAAAAGUCGUUGUUAAACGAAUUGGCUCGGUCUCGAGCCAAUGAAAAUCUACAACUACUAACUCUUUGAUACAUACAAAUAACGAUUGGUAAUACACAUACAUACGAGUGUGCACAGACGUCUACGCACCAUCUUCGGGCCCCAAAAGUGUAAAAUCUUGUUUGUUGGGCCUAGCUAGCCCAAUGACCUGAUCUUAAGGCCCGAAGACAUUUUUUUUCUACGAAGUGUUGAGUUUUACCGACUUGGCACAACGUAGGGUGACUUUCAAUGGCUUGUACCAUUGGACCCCAAGGGCCAUGGUAUUGCUAGAAAAGUCUACACAUUUUACGAGGCGGGUCGGGGACCCCUCGCACACAUUUUUCCCCAGCCGGUUAAUAGAGUUACCGGGGUCUUCGUGACCUCUUUCUCUUCGGAUGUGGGACUACUCAUAGUCCGGGCGAUUGGAUAACGUGAUUAGUACUGACGACGCCUUCGGGAAUCGUUGGUAUAUCUAUAAACCGGGCAUUUGUGUAAUGCGGGUUUGUAGUAAAUAAUCAAUGCUCGAGAACCUUCCAACGUCGCUUGGGACCGAUACUACUAUUUUUGUAAUGGUUUCAACGCAACUCAAUGGAUUUCAAAAGAACUAGGGGAACAUCGGGUUUCCCUAGGGUUUUUAUCACAUACAGAUUUUAAACGCAUACAUCUUAAAUGAACAAUUUUUGCAAGUAUAGAAACAAACAAGCAUACCUAUGGAUCUUCACAAACGUUUUUGAAAGCUUUUCUUUUCAGAAAAUAUCGGAUUUUCUGGUGGUUUUUCAAACAAUAUAAACAUUCGAUUUCAAACACUACUUAUGAACUCACCAACAUUUCAUAUGUUGACGUUUUUCAAAAUACUUGUAUUCUCAGGAAACCAGUGAGUCAAGGGAAAUCAUGCUCAGUGACGGUUGCAGUUUAUUUUUGAAUGAACCAAACAAUAUUAAUUUUUGGAAAUGUAAUAUCUCAAACAAUGUAUGACAUGUAAACACUACUGGUUGUAUUAUGUUGAUGAAUGGUGACGAAUGUUGUUUUGUUUCAUAUAUAUUCAAUGUUAUGGUAUUCAAUUGAGUCACGACAGCCCCCGGACGUUUCCGCCGUCUGGUUCGGGGGUGUGACAGUUUGGUAUCAGAGCUUUGUUUAUAGUGAACUAGCAUGUCGAGCCAUACAUUGAUAUGCAACUAUAAACCAAAAAGAGGGACUAACAUAACUCUGAACAAAACAAAUAAAUAAAAUACACUUGCUUGCAUUAGGAGUAAGGACCUAACGCUGAAUCAAACACCAUAAUGCUGGUAUCUCGGUUAACUCGGGACUGUUCUUAGUGAUACCAAGGAGUGAAUGUAGCCUGAUCAACUACAUUCUCUCCAAGGUAAAACUAACACAUGUCUUGAUGAGAUCGGAAUAGCCAGGGAACCUAAAAAUUUUACCCUAUAUCACCCAAAAAGAGAAUAUUUGCUUAGUCUGUGUAAUAGUCAUAGUACCCUAGGAAUAAUGUAGCAUAAUUACGUACUCGCGCAGACAGCAUGGCUGGUUUUCAUCACCCUGGAGACCCCUACUUCCCUAAUCAGGGAAACAACGGGUGGCUAGAGGAGGAGGAGGAGCCUGAGGAGGAGCAGCAGGGUAUCCAGUUUCAUCAGGCCUUAGUAGCUCACGGGAUGCUGGUGGAUGAGCCGGGAGAGCAUCCAGGAGAAGCACACGACGUCGAACCCGACGAAUAUAUAGACACCGACUACGAAUUUGGAGAGGUCGACGAUGACGACGAGGAGGGUCAGGUCGGGGGCCAGGACCCCAUCCCACCAUGCGAGGACGAGGCACAACCAGAUCACCCCGCUCCACCAGUGAACCCCCCAAGGGAGAACCGUUCCCUCGAAGCUGAGAUCGCCGCACUGCGACAACAGCUGUAUGCUAUGGAAGCUCGGGCAGUGAGAGCAGAGCACGAGAGGGAUGAAGUUAUAGGAGACAUGGCAGAGAUGGCGCAGCUACUAGCGCAACAUUUCGGCAUAUGACUUCGGCACCACCUCCUGACGCAGCUCAUCGCGGUUAGGGAUAGACCUAUCGUAGUAGGAUAUUAGUAACUAUGUUAUGUACUCCGGCUCUAUGUUUAAGUGACUACACUACUCAUGGAGCCGUUAUGCUGUCGGAUUAGUGUUACUUAUGUAUGCUCCUACGAGCAAAUUUUCUUGUACUAAACACGGAUAAUAUUAAUAAACUUUUGUGUGUUUUGCUAUGAUAUUCUCAGUUGUUAUCUGUUGAGGUGUUAUGAUUGUAUGCUUGAUGAUAGUAAUGCUUAGGUUCGUACCCUACACCUAGUUAGUAGGAUCAUAACCUCACCGAAACCACGUACACUCAACAUCUUUCCGUUUCAUGACAGAAAGAUGCCUCGCCCAGCUACUCGCGGAAAUCCCGAACCAACCCCGCCGGAAGUUGACUCCACUGCUUUCCAGGCAGCCGUGUCUGCUGCGGUCACGGCAGCUAUGGCACAACUUCACCGAGGAAACAACGGAGGAGGCAAUGGUCAAGGCUCCGGAAGUUCGAACAACGGGACGAACCAAGGGCUCACUAAAACGUGCACCUACAAGGAUUUUGCGAACGCUAAACCCCGAACUUUCAACGGUACCGGAGGAGUGAUCGCCCUAAAGCGAUGGAUCGAGAAGGUAGAGUCGGUAUUCGAGAUAUGCGAGUGCCCCGAGCAGAUGAAAGUGAAGUUCGCGGCCUGCACUUUUGUGGACCAAGCACUCACUUGGUGGAAUGGUCACAUAGAAGCUAUGACACUCCCUGUCGCCAACUCUAUACCCUGGACAGAAAUGAAAGAGAUGUUGACGGCUGAGUACUGCCCCCGAGGUGAAAUACAGAAGAUGGAGCAGGAGCUGUGGAAUCUCACGGUGCAGAAUGGGAACAUCGAUGCUUACAUAUCGAGAUUCAGCGAACUAUCCCUGUUGUGCCCGGGUAUGAUCACAUCAGAGGGAAAGAAGAUUGAACGAUUCAUUUGGGGACUGACAUCCCCCAUUCAAGGGAAUGUGAUAGCUGCGAACCCUGAAACGUUUGACAGCGCGAAGAGAUUGGCAAAGAGGCUAUAUGAUCAUAACCACAAAAAGGGCGAGAAACCGGUAGAGACUGAGAAGAAGAAGGAGAGCGAUGGUAAGAAAGGAUGGAACAACAAGAGGAAGGGGCGUCAAGGUCCCGAGACCUCUAAAAAGCAGCAAACGGUGGCAGUUCACGCUGUCACUGCGCCGGUACCAGUCACAUCACAUGCUCCAGCCUCAGCUACUUCAAAUACUUCAAGACCCUAUUCCGGCACUCAUCCCAAAUGCAACAAGUGCGGUUUCCAUCACCAAGGAGAAUGUAGGGAGUUCCAUUGCACCAGUUGCAACCGAAGGGGACACACUGCAAAGUUCUGCAGGACUUAUCCUUCUCAGAACCAGAGUCAGGGAAACAACCAGAACAACAACAACAACCACCGCAACAUCAACAACACCAAUGCCGGCGGCAACAACGCAGGGCCUAGCCACACCUGUUUCGGGUGUGGAAGGACGGGACAUUUCCGUCGAGAUUGCCCUAACAACAACAACAACUCCGGAAACAGAGGAACAGGAAGAAUGCUGACUAUGGGUCAGAGUGAUGCAGUUCAAGAUCCCGCAGUUGUGACCGGUACGUUUCUCCUAAACCACACUUAUGCAUGCAUCUUAUUUGAUACCGGAGCGGAGCGAAGUUUCGUAAGCGAGAAGUUUAAACAUUUACUAAAACAACAACCCCAGAAGCUAAAUGAAACCUAUACGGUGGAAAUGGCCAAUGGGAAAACCGAAUCCACUAGGGAGAUCUACAUCGGAUGUACCCUAACCCUUAACCAGCACGUCUUUCGAAUAGACCUAAUGCCAGUAUCAAUUAGGAGUUUCGAUGUGAUUAUCGGCAUGGAUUGGUUAAGCCCCCACCAUGCUGAGAUUAUGUGCCACGAGAAGGCCGUUCGCCUUCGUCUCCCAAAUCACGAAACCCUAGUAAUUUACGGAGACAAACCCAGUACGAAUCUCCGCCUCAUCUCGUGCAUCAAAGCGCAAAAACACUUGCGAAAGAACAAUUUGGCGUUCUUGGCCCACAUAGUGGACAAGACCAAAGAAGAAACUAACAUCCAAGACAUUCCGGUAGCGUGUGAAUUUCCGGACGUGUUUCCCGAAGAUCUUCCAGGAGUACCCCCAGAGAGACAGGUUGAAUUCCGAAUCGACCUCGUUCCAGGAGCAACUCCCCUCGCUAAAUCACCAUAUCGGUUGGCACCUGCUGAAAUGCAGGAAUUAUCCAGCCAACUCAGUGAGCUUCUGGACAAGGGAUUUAUCCGACCUAGCUACUCGCCAUGGGGAGCUCCGGUGCUCUUUGUCAAAAAGAAGGACGGAUCUUUCAGAAUGUGCAUCGAUUACAGAGAGUUGAAUAAACUCACUGUUAAAAACCGCUACCCACUCCCGCGAAUCGAUGAUCUAUUCGACCAGCUCCAAGGAGCUAGCUAUUUUUCUAAAAUAGACUUACGGUCCGGAUACCACCAACUCAAAGUCCGAGAAGAGGAUAUUCCAAAAACCGCUUUUCGAACCCGCUAUGGACAUUAUGAAUUCGUCGUAAUGCCCUUCGGUCUAACAAAUGCACCUGCCGCAUUUAUGGACCUAAUGAAUCGAAUCUGUCGACCGUUCCUGGACAACUUCGUCAUUGUGUUUAUCGAUGACAUCCUCGUCUAUUCUCGAAGCAAAGAGGAGCAUGGCCAACAUCUCCGACAAGUCCUAGAGACGCUGCGAUCGGAAAAGCUUUACGCCAAACUCUCCAAGUGCGAGUUCUGGCUUCGGAGUGUGAAUUUCUUAGGCCACGUAGUUAGCCAAGACGGAAUUCAUGUGGAUCCCUCUAAGGUCAAAGCUGUGGAAGGAUGGGCAACUCCGACUACGCCCACAGAAAUUCGUCAGUUCUUAGGCCUAGCAGGCUACUAUAGGAGAUUCAUCCAAAACUUCUCUAAGAUCGCCAAGCCGCUUACCUUGCUUACGCAAAAGGGCGUGCCAUUCAAGUGGACAGACCGACAAGAGAUUGCGUUUCGAACCUUGAAGCAAGCUCUUUGUAGCGCUCCUGUACUAUCUCUACCUGAAGGAACGGAAGAUUUUGUAGUUUACUGUGACGCGUCAAAUCAAGGCUUAGGUUGCGUUCUCAUGCAACGUGGAAGAGUGAUAGCAUAUGCGUCCCGUCAACUAAAGACGCACGAAGUAAAUUACACGACCCAUGACCUAGAACUGGGAGCCGUGGUCUUCGCCCUAAAAAUUUGGAGGCACUACCUGUACGGUACUAAGUGCACCAUCUUCACAGACCACAAGAGCCUCCAGCACAUCUUGAAUCAGAAGGAGCUGAACAUGAGACAACGAAGAUGGGUGGAAUUGUUAAACGACUACGAAUGCGAGAUCAAGUACCAUCCAGGCAAGGCCAACGUGGUAGCUGACGCAUUAAGUCGGAAGGAAUACACAAAUCGCCGUACGAAAACGCACUCGAUAACCAUUCAGUCUCAUCUGACCACUCAAAUUGCAUCAGUCCAGGCAGAGGCUAUGAAAGCGGAAAAUAGAACUAGCGAGGCAUUGCGCGGAAUGGAGAAGAACCUGGAAGUCAAAGAGAAUGGGGUAUACUACUUCAUGAACCGUAUUUGGGUUCCAAAAAUCGGAGGAUUCAGAGAGACCGUUAUGAAGGAAGCCCACAAGACACGAUACUCCAUUCAUCCUGGUUCGGACAAGAUGUAUUUGGACAUUAAGCAGCACUAUUGGUGGCCUAACAUGAAGGCGGAAAUCGCAACUUAUGUUAGUAAGUGCCUUACGUGUGCCAAAGUAAAAGUGGAAUACCAGAAACCUUCCGGAUUGUUACAGCAACCGGCAAUCCCUGAGUGGAAAUGGGAGGGGAUUUCUAUGGACUUCGUGACCAAGCUGCCCAAGACGUCGGACGGAUUGGACACCAUAUGGGUAAUAAUCGACCGACUGACGAAAUCUGCCCAUUUCCUGCCAAUCAAAGAGUCCUACAAGAUGGAGAGGCUGACGCGUUUGUACCUACGAGAGAUUGUAAGACUUCAUGGAGUGCCAAAAUCUAUCAUCUCGGAUAGGGACAGUAGGUUCACGUCACGCUUUUGGCAGUCGCUCCACAAGGCCAUGGGAACUCAUCUUGAUAUGAGCACCGCGUAUCACCCACAAACGGACGGUCAAAGCGAACGAACCAUUCAGACGCUUGAAGACAUGCUUCGUGCAUGUGUGAUAGACUUCGGAAAGUCUUGGGAUACCCACCUACCGUUGAUCGAGUUUUCAUAUAACAAUAGUUAUCAUUCGAGCAUUAAGGUGGCCCCUUUCGAAGCACUGUACGGGCGUAAAUGUAGAUCACCGUUAUGUUGGGCUGAAGUAGGUGACACCCAGCUAGCAAGAACACAUACGUCGGAUAGGGCAAUGACAGGACCGGAAAUCAUUCGCGAGACCACAGAAAAGAUUGUCCAGAUCAAAGCUCGAUUACAGGCAUCGCGUGACCGGCAAAAGAGCUACGCUGAUAAACGGCGAAAGCCCUUAGAAUUCCAGGUCGGUGAUCGAGUAUUGUUGAAGGUCUCACCCUGGAAAGGGGUUAUACGUUUCGGAAAACGAGGAAAGCUAAACCCACGGUACAUUGGACCUUUCGAAAUCGUCGCCCGAAUAGGUCCGGUAGCCUACAGACUACAACUACCCCCGGAGCUAAACGGUGUACACCCCGUGUUUCAUGUUUCUAAUCUGAAAAAGUGCCUAUCAGAUGAAACCCUUGUCAUUCCUCUUGACGAAAUCGAAAUCAAUGAGAAUCUCCUGUUCGUCGAAGAACCAAUCGAAAUCAUGGACAGGGAGGUGAAGCGUACUAAGCAAAGUCGCAUCCCGAUCGUGAAGGUACGGUGGAACGCAAAGCGUGGGCCAGAAUUCACGUGGGAACGCGAAGAUCAAAUGAAGCAGAAGUACCCUCACCUAUUCUAGCAUUCUCAAAUCUAGCUUUCAAACAGAAUUUCGGGACGAAAUUCCCUCUAACGGGGGGAUGAUGUCACAACUGUAAAUUUUGAGCCAUGUAAUCUAUACAUUCAAGUUAAUGUGAAUCAAAAACUUCAAUCAAAUACAACAUGCUAGGACUACAAAUAGUCAUCAAACAAUUGGAGACCCUAGAAGUUCUUGUUAAGUCUAAUUUAGGCUAGAACUUCCUUAUUGGAUCCAAAUGGGCCAAUAAGCUUCCAAUUAGACUAUCAUGGGCUUAGAACCCUAAUUGGGCUCUAAUUGGACCCACACUUAUUUAUUUUAACAUUUUAGGUCAUGUUGGGCCUAGAAUUAAAUAAAUUAAAAGCCUUGAUACAUGAAUAACCUAAAACUAGUUCAAGAAAAACAUAAAAAUCCUACCACAUUCUUUAGACUUAAAACACACCCUAAUUACCACUAAUAUUGGGCUUAAGGGCCAAAAGGCCCAAAAAUCUUUUUUUUCUUUCAAAUUCUCGGCCCAAGGCCCACACCCAAAGAGAAAUGGAAGAGUUGACUAUUUGCUUGCCACCUCAUUAUUACCCAACAUGUUUCCAUGCACCUUAGUCCAUAUCUCCAUGCAUAUCACUUCAAAAGUCAUUUCUUCUUCUCUCCUCUCUCACUCUCGGCCAUACACACCCACACACCAAACAUCUCUCACAAAUUCUCUCUAGUUCACUCAAGGAAACUCUCUUCUUCCCUCUCCAAAGAUCUCGAAAUUUAGGGACUUUCCAAGAGGAUUUUGCAAGUAAAUCAUCAUCUAAGGUAAGAUUAUGCAUAGAUCUAUGGUUUAAAUUCUUUUGUUAUCAAAAUCCUUUCCUAAUCUAUACAAAAAUCGUGAUCUUACACCCUAGAACCAUCUCAAAACUCAAGAUCUUCAUCAAAGGGAGCCAAGGCCAAAAACACUUCAUUUUUCUUCCAUCUUUUCUUCCAAAAACCGAAACAACACCCCAAGGUGAGAUUCAUACCCCUAUUUUCUGUUUUUAUGAGUUUUGUGGGGGGGGAAAACAAGUGAAAGUGUAGAUCUAUAUGUGUUUGUAUGCCUUGUAUGAUUUCCAUGCUUAUAUGUAUGCUUAUAUGUGUUUUUAUGUUGGAUCUAGCCAUUAAACCCCUCAAAACCGAGAUAUAACUCAUGUUUUAUGAUAUUAGCUUCAAAUAUGUUCCUACAUAAUAAGUGAUACUAGAUAAAUAGCCAAGUGGUUAGCAACAAUUUUCUUUAAGCUAAAAACACACAUUUUGGGCCAAAAAUGUGAAAAAUACAAAAUUAAGGGCCCAAAUUGACAUUUUACAGAUUCUGAUGGUUGAAAUGUGCCAAAACAGUUUCCA
rnacentral:lncRNA from 1 species